rnacentral:lncRNA from 1 species
UUUUUGUUUCUCUUAUGUUGUUUUGUUUUGUGUGUAAUCUCGUGAAAUCAAAGGAUGAAACUUUUAUUAGAGGCUAAGGUUUCAGGGUUUUUGGGGUUUGAAUUUUGGGUUGGAAAACUUUAUAAACAUCUUAGGUGGGUGAAAAUCUUUGAAUCUCUUGUUCAUUAGAAGAAAUUGAGAAAUAUGUAGAAAUUAAGUUGUUCUUGGAGUUGGAGAACUCGUUGAAAUUAAUUUAUUGCAAUCUCUUUUGCAUCUCUUUGUAAGAAUCUCAUUGAUAGUGGAUCAAGGAGCUCUUUCUCCCCCAGGCGUAGACAAUUGUUGGCCAAAAUUAAGUAACCAAAUCUUGACGGGUUUAUUCUUCUACUCUCUUUAUCUUGUUGUUUUUACUCUGAUUAUGGUUUUAAUUUACACUUUGUUGUUGUAUAAGAUUUAGAUAUGUUGUUAUUGCUCGAGACUGCUUUAAUUAUUGGUUUUGAUCGAUACUUGUUCAGCACAUCUAAGUUUAUUGACAUAAUUUCCUAAUUUGCAACAUGUGGAGUUGUAUUUGCUAAGUCAAAUGAACUGAUUCUAAAAUUCCAAAGAGCAUCUUUGCCGUCCUCAUAUUCCACAUUAUUUUUAUGUAUGAACCAUACAAAGUACACGUUAUUGUUAUAU